CCUACGGGUGGCAGCAGUGGGGAAUAUUGGACAAUGGGCGAAAGCCUGAUCCAGCCAUGCCGCGUGUGUGAAGAAGGCCUUCGGGUUGUAAAGCACUUUCAGUGGGGAAGAAAGCCUUGGGGCUAAUACCCUCGAGGAAGGACAUCACCCACAGAAGAAGCACCGGCUAACUCCGUGCCAGCAGCCGCGGUAAUACGGAGGGUGCGAGCGUUAAUCGGAAUUACUGGGCGUAAAGCGCGCGUAGGCGGUCUGAUAAGCCGGUUGUGAAAGCCCCGGGCUCAACCUGGGAACGGCAUCCGGAACUGUCAGGCUAGAGUGCAGGAGAGGAAGGUAGAAUUCCCGGUGUAGCGGUGAAAUGCGUAGAGAUCGGGAGGAAUACCAGUGGCGAAGGCGGCCUUCUGGACUGACACUGACGCUGAGGUGCGAAAGCGUGGGUAGCAAACAGGGUUAGAUACCCCGGUAGUC
rnacentral:rRNA from 1 species